CUGUCCGUUUGCUAGUCCUAAAGCUUUGAGGAGAAGGUUGUCUAUGUCGCCACCUUGUGCAAAAUCGGAUCAUUACAGUUGAGGUAAAACUCUGUAACUAAAUCCCCGUAAAUACACUGCAAGCGACGCGACAACCUCGAAAGCUUCCAUUGUAAUUAAAGAAUCUGCGACGCGGGGAAAUGAGGCGGCGUUGAUUACAAGUUUGUCGCGUCGCGUCAGAUGGGCUUUAAGCUUCGGGGCGUCGCCUUGAGUCGACCCGGACCAAUCGGGAUUCCGCUCAGUACUUUGUAAACAACACAGCUGCACGCUGUAUGAAAACUUUACUACGAGAGGAUGUCGCGUGCCGAAGACUGCCAGAAAAAUCUCUUAAUUCGGUGGCCAUGGAUUUCACAUAAACCGAAGCUUGUGCAGAUGAUAAAUGUGGGAACAGGAGUUGGUGUCUGAAGAGAGAUCACAGUUGUCAUCACAUCAUCCAUCGCUAACCCUCCAUCCAUGCGCCUCUCCCUCUGCUGGAACGAAGUGUCCCUGUCUCUGACAACAAUGUCUUUGAGGAAAGGAAGGAGUUUUGCUCUGUCUGCUGUGUCUGUGGGGCUCAGCUUUAGCGGGGUGUUCCCUCCCUGGUUCCUCUCCAGCAAAAUUACCUUCAGCUGCAGUUGGAGCCAGAAGAUGACACACAUCUGGGAGUCUGGGCCCAAAGCCGAGGUGGAGGCUCUGUCUUGAUGCUUCUGCUUAUGCUGCAGUCAUCAAGAGGCUCUCUUCUCUACGUCUCCCUGCUUUCUUCCAGGAAAGACAGGAAAGGCCUUUUUCCAGCCCGUUCACACUGUACUAAGUCACUAGACUGUUUGGAAAUGGAGCAAGGGAUUUAGGAAGGGGAAAAAAAGAGAACUUAAAGGGGUGAAAGGAGAUUUCGCUUUUUUAACUUAUACUUGGUGUGUAAUGUUGCUGUUUGAGCAUAAACAACAUCUGCAAAGUUAUGAUGCUCAAAGUUCAGUGCAAAGGGAGAUAUUUUCUUUUGCAGAAACUGCUACAACAAAAGACUGGUAGGGACUGCAACAAGCUUCUUCCCAGGUUGGUGACAUCACAAACCCCAAAAACCCUGUACCCGGGAACAUGUAACAAAGGGGGUGAGGACAUGUUGGGCUGCUUUAGAGAAGAGGAAGAGUUGUUGUGGUAGUGUUGUUACCAAUCUUUAAUUUGAAAGCCACACUUCUAGCACCUGUAAAACCAUAUACUUCCAUCUAAAAAAAAAAAAAAACAUGCUGUCAUUUUAUGCCGGACUGCUUCACAAAUGAGGGUCAAUUCAAUGCUGGAUUUGCCAAACGUUUAACAUUCUAGUUGAUGAGUUGAAUCAACUCCACAGCAACUACAUAAAUUUAUCAACUAACCAGAUGCAUUUUAUAAGUUGGAACUUCUUCCUGAGUCUCUCCAUCAGUGAGUAACCGAAGCGUGAGCUGUUAAAGCUCCACCCUCUUCUGGAAAGGGGGCAGGGAGCAGUAGCUCAUUUGUAUUUAAAGGGG